rfam:Picea glauca, whole genome shotgun sequence.
UGUAAUUCAAUGCCUAUAGCCUUAAUGCACCAAAUCCCAUUAGAACUUUGUAGUUAAGUGUGCUUGGGAUAGAUUAGUAUUGGGAUGGUUGACCUCUCAAGAAGUCCUAGUUUUUUACAU